AAAAGUGAUCAAUGCAUCUUUGCGUGUGCGUCUGAAGAUGCCGUGUGCAAAAUUUGGUGUUGAUUGGUCAAGAAAUAUGGGAGGAGUAGGGAAAAAACAGUUUUGCGGUUUUCGCGAUUUUGCGAAAAAAAAAUUAUAGACGCAAAUGGGCGUGGCCUAUGCCAAAAGAUGCAGCAGACUCCAGUGAAUAUGUGGGUACAAGUUUUUGACUGUGGGAGGUUCAGUGUGGGAGUUAUAGCCCCAAACGCGUAUUCCUUGGUAUAGCGCCACCUAGUGACCGGCGUGUCUGGAUUUUGUCGUCUGCAUAGUCCGAAGAGACCUGGAUCUAGUCAUGCAAUUGGCGUGUCG
ensembl:lncRNA